rnacentral:rRNA from 1 species
UACAGAGGGGGCAAGCGUUGUUCGGAAUUACUGGGCGUAAAGGGCUCGUAGGCGGCCAACUAAGUCAGACGUGAAAUCCCCAGGCUCAACCUGGGAACUGCGUCUGAUACUGGAUGGCUUGAAUCCGGGAGAGGGAUGCAGAAUUCCAGGUGUAGCGGUGAAAUGCGUAGAUAUCUGGAGGAAUACCGGUGGCGAAGGCGGCAUCCUGGACCGGCAUUGACGCUGAGGCGCGAAAGCCAGGGGAGCAAACGGG